rnacentral:rRNA from 1 species
UACGUAGGGGGCAAGCGUUGUCCGGAUUUACUGGGCGUAAAGGGCGCGUAGGCGGCAAGCUAAGUCAGAUGUGAAAGUCCACGGCUUAACCGUGGAAUUGCAUUUGAAACUGGUUGCUUGAGUGCAGGAGAGGAGAGCGGAAUUCCUAGUGUAGCGGUGAAAUGCGUAGAUAUUAGGAAGAACACCAGUGGCGAAGGCGGCUCUCUGGACUGUAACUGACGCUGAGGCGCGAAAGCGUGGGUAGCGAACAGGAUUAGAUACCCU